GGAGCUUCAUGCUUCGGGUCGGGGAAGGAAAGACAUAGAAUUUGGAUUUUUCUUCUUCGUAGAGUUUUGGGGAAGACUGAGGCAAUCGCUACUGAAGUCAGUGUUGUAAUGGUGAAUCGGGAUUUUUAAAUGAAGUGGGUUUGAAUACUCUUGACUGUUUUGUGAAAUCGAGUUACGUCUGUGAUUGAAGGAUUAAAAGGGUGUCUAUAGGAUUGAGUAUGCGGAGUGAAUGAAAUUUAUUGGGUUAAUCUAACAAGACAGUUAGUGGAUACAAGAUCGUAAGUACAAAGCAGUAUUGAAGGUUAACAGUUUGGGUUGUACGGGGUUCUCUGUAACGUCUAGAGACCUACCGGCUGGGGCAAAAAGGACUUCGACAAGCAGUCGAAGAGUACCCGUAUAGAUUUACGGUACAUUGUUGCAGUCGUUUAUAUUCCAGCAGUCAAAACUGAUAGACUGCUUGACUAUCGGCGAAUCUUCAUACUACCUUCUACAGCCAGACGCCCGGCGCAUUCUCGAGCAGGAAAGCACGUAAUACGACAUAAGUGGUGAACCCGACGUGAAGCUUGAGGUAGAAGGUAUUGGAUUUUGGUUGAUUUUAUCUUUAUUUUUAUGGAAAACGAAAAUAAAAAUUUUGAAGUAUUUUUGGGAGAAGUUCUGGUGGGGAGUCUUCUAAAGGACAAGGUAUGCACAUUGAUCCAUCUAUUGCUAGUUUGUUUCAAGCCUUCUCAUUGUCAAUGCAGCAACAGCAAAGCAAUGAUCGGAAGGAAGCUUUAGCAACCAAAGCAUUGCAAGCAGUGGUCAAUAAAAUUGAUCAAUUUGAUGGGAGGAAUAUUUCAAGGUAUUUAAGAUGUUAUGUUCGUGAAAUGGAAUUAAAUCGGGUUUCUGAGAAGAAAAUGGUUGCACUAUUUGGACUUGCCACGAUACCGGAGACAAAGAAGAAGAUGAAAGAUUGACAACAAAGUGGAAGAACGUUGAAGAUGCGGUGGGGUUGCUUACAAAAAAAGAAAGGAGGAAGGAUAGGAGCAAUAUUCCGAAAACAGUACAAGCACCCAAAGCUCCAGUACGUACAACACCACCGACAAUGCCUACAGUUCAACCUUCGACAUCCUUGUCAAAGAAAGCAGAUAUGGGUAUGGAAGAAAUUAUACGAGGAAUGCGAGAUCUUCAAAUCAAAUUGGCAAGACUUGAAGAGAAUACUUCUAUAAACAAUUCAAAGAAUGUUUCAAAACAAGGAUAUGUACAAAGAUGCAUUUGGUGUGAUGAUGCUUCACACACUAGAAAAGAUUGCAAUGAAUUUAAUAAUAUGAUACGGCAGGGAAUUAUUUGCUGGAAAGAUGGGAAGAUAGCAUUGAAAGAUAGGGAGGAUCUUCUUCAAACCAAUUUUGGCAAGGGAAGAAUGAGAGCAUUGGUUCAAGAUUACUUAAAAGAGCAUGAAACAGUAGUACGAGAAAGUGCAAGUUAUGGUGUUAGAGUAGAUGAUGAAAUUGGUGGAAGUAUGAAAACUAGUGAGUUUUGGGCUUCUGCCGUUUCUACAAUGCAAGAAGGGAAAUUAUCUCGAGAAGCGUUAUUGAGAACUGCAGCUACAAUACGAGGUAGAACAGGUUGAGAGGAUCUUGUUGAGUCUCUUUCAGUUCAUGCAUAUAUUGCUAAGAGCCAACAUGAAGCUUUGAUGGAAGAAAAGAGACAAGGAAAUUUUGAUGAUACUAGAGAAGAAAAUUCUUCUAAGAGGCAAACUCGAGGAGACAAGGCUCGAGAGGCAGCUUCACAAGAAUUGCCAGUAAAGGAUACCUCAGCAUCAUUGGGAGAAAAAAACAAAGGAGACAAAAGAUAAGGGCAAAUCAAUUGCUUAUAAGCUACUUUCUGACAUUGAAGCGGCAACAAAUUUGAAAGGGGUGUUAGAAGAACGUAUAUUAAACGCUAAGGUGGAAUUCACAUUGAAAGAAGUCUUGGGAAUUGCAAAGAAGGAGUUUCAUGAUGUUAUCAUUGACAGCAUUAAGCGAAAGAGGCAAUUAAUGAGCGAAACUGGAAUGAGUCAUGCUAAUGAUGCAAGAAUAUGUAGAGAUGAAGAAGAGGUUGAUAUUGGUUACAAGCAACCAACAAAUGAAAAGAAUGGGUAUAAUCAGCGAGUACGUUUCGAAGAUUCUAGUGACAAGGAAAUGGAAACUUUAAGCCAUUAUACUCGAAAGCAUUGGGCAAGGGUAACUACUGAGGUAUUGGUGAAGGUAGGAGAUAUAGAGGAACCAAUAGUUGCUGUGGUGGACCAUGGUUCUGAAAUAAAUCUCAUGUCUAAAGAUCUUUAUAAGAAGCAAAAAUGGCCAAUUGAUAUGGAACAUGGAUGGGCAAUACGAGCAGCUGAUAACACACGAAGCGAAUUAUAUGGAGCUUGUCCACAUGUCAAAAUUCGGAUUGGGGAUGUUGCUACGGAGCAACAUUUCUUCGUUCAAGAUACAACGUCUUAUCCGUUGAUUUUAGGACAACCUUAUAUCACGGCAACACGGAUGGAAACAAAGGUACUUGACGAUGGUUCUGCUUAUGCAAGGGUACGGAGCGAAGAUGGGAGGAAAGCUGUACAAUUUCUAACAGUACCUCCUAACCAUGAACGGAAUCGAGAUAGGUUGAGGGAGAAACCAUUGCCAAAGAUUGUUGAAGGAUUUAAGGGUUUUGGGGAGGUACCACUGUAAAGUGAGAUUAUGGAGGUACAAAAGAGGAGGUACUCUCGCGAGAUGAAGGUGCCUUUGAUGCGAGUUUUAUUGGUAUAUUGGAGAAUGGAAAUAUUAUGUAUAAGAAAGUUGAUGAUUUUAAAAGAAAAGAAAGAAAAAGAUUAUAUGAUAUUGAAGGACAGUUACGUAAGAUAGGUACAUUGCAAGAUGAUGAGAGGAUUUUGGGUGUUUAUGAAGAAAAUGGGCUGGAAGAUUCAUUGGAAUUGAUUACAUCUAUUGGGUUAGGGGAUAAUGAUAAGAUUGUUGAGAUUCAUUCGAGAGAGGUGUAUACCAUGCUUGAAUCUUUUCAAGCACUAGAAGUCACAGUAGAGACGAGAUAUAAAACGGCAGAUAAGAAGGUAAAGCCUGUUGCCGGACCAUUACCAGAGGAUUCUAAAGAACAAAUGGGAGAAGCAUCAAAAGAAGCAAAUUUAAGAGAUCCAAUGAGUAUUGGACAUCAGUUUACUGAAGAGACUUUUGAAGAAUUGAAGAUUGGUUCUGAUGGUUCUUUAUUGCGGGAGGAAAUUACUUGCUUCAAAAAGAUGUUGGCUAAACAAGGUAGAUCGUUUGCCUUCGAAUCUCAUGAAAUUGGGUGUGUGGAUCCAAAUAUUAUAACACCUAUGGUUAUCUUCACUGUACCGCAUGUACCUUGGAAUCUAAGACCGAUUCCAGUACCGAGGGCACAUUUACCUAAAUUGGUGGAACUAUUGAAAGAAAAGAUAAAGAUGAAAAUAUUGGAACCUUCAUUUGCGCCGUAUUCUAGUCGAUGGUUUACGGUACCUAGGAAGAAUUGGUCACUGCGGUUUAUUCGAGAUAUGCAGCCGGUGAAUGCUUUAAUUGUCAGAAAUGCAGGAAUUGGACCUAUUGUGGAUGAAUUUGCUGAGGCGUUUGCUGGAAGGGCGAUCUAUUCAAUGGGUGAUUUGUAUUCAGGUUAUGAUCAAUUUCAACUUGUCGAAGGAAGUAGAGAUAUGACAACGAUGAGGACACCGCUUGGAUUGGUUAGAAUGUGCACUCUUCCUCAAGGCGCGACCAACUCAGUUGCGCAUAUGAUGAAUGGGAUGAAUAAGGUAUUGAGAGAUUUUAUUCCGGAAAAGACUAUGCCUUUUCUAGAUGAUGUUCCUAUAAAGGGGUGCAGAGAAGGAGACAAGGAUGAAACUUUAGAUACGAGGGGAUGUCGCAGAUAUGUUGUUGAUCAUAUACAAGAUUGUGAAAAGAUUUUAACUCGGCUUGGAGAAGUUCAUCUUACAUUAUCGGGUAUGAAGUCCGUAUUUGGAGUGCAAGAGGUUGUAAUUGUUGGACAUUUAUGCGGAUCUUACGGAAGAAAACCAGAUCCGACUAAAGUUGAUGCAAUUGGAAGGAUGAAAGAGGAUUGUGGUUCUUUAACAGAGGUUUGCAGGUUUUUGGGUGCAUGUGUAUUUUAUCGAAUCUGGAUCCCUCAUUUUGCUCACAUAGCGGAUCCAUUAUAUGAACUGUUACGCAAGGGUUACCGAUUUGAAUGGAAAGAAAGGCAUAUUCAAGCAAUGCAAAGAUUGAAGAAAUUAUUGAUGUCACCUCCAAUAUUGAGGAAGGUUGAUUAUAAGUGCAAUAGACUAGUGAUUUUUACUGUAGACGCUAGUCCAAUUGCCGUUGGAUGGACUGUGGGUCAAGAUGAUUCGAAUGGGAGUAGAUUUGCAGUUCGAUUUGGGGCUAAAGUUUUAAGUAUUCGUCAGCAUGCAUAUUCGCAAGUCAAAAGAGAACUUUGGGGAGUCGUUUCGGCUAUGAAAGCUGAAAAAGACUAUUUGAUUGGGGCAGUAGUAGUAAUUGAAACAGAUUGCUUGCCAUUGCUUGGAAUGAUUAUUAACUGUUCAACGCCAGAUAUUGCAAUGUUGAGAUGGAUUGCUUAUAUUAAGUCACUAAAUCCAGAAUUUAAGCAUAUCAUUGGAAAGGACAAUUUAGUAGCAGACAUGCUAUCUCAAGCAAGAUAUGAGAGGGAGGACGAAAUGGUUGAAGACAUUGAUGAUGUCGGAUUGAAAUUUUAUUCAAUAUCAAAUCUCAACAGAGAAGACAAGCUAUUUCUUGAAGAAGCUUAUGAAGGAGAAUUAUUGGAUAUUGGUCAUUAUUUGAAUACCUUGACUAAAUAGGGGAAUUGGUCUACAGAAAAAUUCAAACAAAUAAGAAAAAAAGCAUAUGGAUUUUUACUUCGAGAUGGAUUCUUAUGGAAGAGACCGAAGAAAGGAAUUGGGAUGCCACAACGAGUGAUAGGCAAAAGGGAAAAAAAACUAAAAUUAUUAAAGGAGUUUCAUGAUAGUUUAUGGGCAGGGCAUAGAAGAAUCUGGGCUACUUUUGCUAAACUCAAGGAACGAUAUUGGUGGAAAAAUAUGUAUCGAGAUGUGCUCUCAUUUGUAGAGUCAUGUAAAAUCUGUCAAUCGUAUUCUAAUAUCCGAAAUCGAGAUGGUCUUCAUCCUACGUAUCCGCUGGCUAUUCAUUUUAAAUGGGUUGUUGAUUUGGUUAUUAUGCCGGUUGGAUUAUGGCAGAUGAGAUAUUUGGUUUUAGCUCGUGAAGAUUUAUCAAAUCAAGUAGAAGGAAGAGCAUUGAGGACAAAAUCUAUAGAGGGGAUUUGUAGGUUUUUGCUUGAAGAUGUCAUUUGUCGUUACGGGUGCGUAGGGAAAAUCACUGCAGAUCGUGGAGAAUUAAAUGCACAAGAAGCUCGUAAGUUCUUUGAAAAAUGUGGAGUUAAACUAUCAUUGACUACUGCUUAUAAUCCAGAAGGGAAUGCAAAAAGCGAACGUGGUCACCCGCCGAUUGUGAAAGCAUUAGUUAAAGCUUGUAAUGGGAAGGUUAAAGAGUGGCCACGCCUUUUGUCAUUUGCAUUAUGGGCUGAUCGAACAACACAUAGUUCGGUGAUAGGAUAUAUGCUAGUAGAACUUAUGACAGGUCAAAAACUAAUUAUGCCGAUUGAAGAAAAGGUACUUACUUGGAGUAUGCUACCAUGGGAAGAUGGAUUGACAAGAGAAGAACUUCUGGCUAUUAGGAUUCGACAAUUGAAGCAAAGAACGGAAGAUGUCCAGAUAGCAUUGGAAAGGUUAAAAAGAGCAAGGUUACAAAACAAGGCGCGAUUCGAUAAGCAACAUCGAUUAAGACCAAAAGCAAUCGAGGAAGGUGACUGGGUACUUGUUUAUGACAAUAGUCUGGAUAAUCAACAUAGUACCUUGCGGAAAUUUUCAAAACGUUGGUUUGGACCAUAUGUUGUAACAACUGUUCAUGAUAAUGCGACUUACUCAUUACGGGAGUAAGAUGGUACAAAAUUGAAAAUACCAAUUGCAGGGAAGCGAGUAAAAAUAUUUAAACAAAGACACACAGAGAUGAAUAUGGAAGACCUUAAUGAAGGUCCAGAGAUUCCGCAGCAAGAAGAUGAAAGUGAUAUGGAUAAUGAAGGUGACGAAGACGAACUAGACAAAGACGUAGGGGAUAUAUUCUGAAUCAAACAACAAUUGGGUAAAUUGGUGCAUACCGGAGGAUGCACAGGUUCAGAGGGGGUGGAUGUCGUGUUGUAACACGAGUAUACAGUGAAAAUAAAAAGAAAGGGGAAUUUUAUUAAUAUUCAGUUACCUUGAAUAUUGGGAGCAUCGAUCAACUCGAGUACAAAUACUGAGUGGUCAGGUUCAGUCACUCCGUUACAGUCAGCCGGGGCAUACUGAAAUGCUCCAUUCGAUUCCAAUAACGGGAGUCAGCAGGAAGAGAAGGACCAAUUCACACGACGGGUUCGAGGAGCCAAUUGGAUCGAAUUUUGAUAAUCCAAUCCGGGUCCUCUUAUCCAAUAUGAGACCUGAAUUGGCCGGUCAACCCAAUGUGGUCUAAUUAUGGGAAAUCCAGGUCUUACUACGGGUCUUAGCCAAUCUGAUGCGAGGACCAAUUUGACCCAAUUACGGGAACAUCCAGGUUACUACGGGCAUCUUUCCCAAUAUAGGACCUGAAUUGGCCUGUCAACUCAAUGUGGUCUAAUUACGGGAAAUCCAGGUCUUACUACGAGUCUUAGCCAAUCUGAUGCGAGGACCAAUUUGACCCAAUUACGGGAACAUCCAGGUUAAUACGGGCAUCUUUCCCAAUAUAGGACCUGAAUUGGUCGGGCGACUCAAUGUGGUCCCGAUUACGGGGUUCGAUUCUGUUUCAGGCUGUCUUGUUCUCUGUGCCAUUUCAGGGAACGUUGUUUUCGGUAAAUGGAUUUCUUAAAGGUAAAAACGGAGGAGAAAGCUUGGCGGCGAGAGCCAAUUUCGAAUCCAAGUUGAGGUGAGAGUCAAUUUCGGAUCCAAGCUUGAGGUGGGAGCCAAUUCUGGAUCUAAGACGGAAGAUUGAAGAAAUUCAGAGGAUAAGGUUAGUGGGGAUAUAGUUUUGAGGAGGGGGGGUUUUUUUUUUUUCGGAGAAUCGGGGGGGAGGAGUUUUCAAGCUUUUGCAAGGUUACCUGUUCGGUUUUUUCAUUGGAGGUUUUUGGAAGAUCAAGGGAAUUAGAGAGAGGAGCUUCAUGCUUCGGGUCGGGGAAGGAAAGACAUAGAAUUUGGAUUUUUCUUCUUCGUAGAGUUUUGGGGAAGACUGAGGCAAUCGCUACUGAAGUCAGUGUUGUAAUGGUGAAUCGGGAUUUUUAAAUGAAGUGGGUUUGAAUACUCUUGACUGUUUUGUGAAAUCGAGUUACCUCUGUGAUUGAAGGAUUAAAAGGGUGUCUAUAGGAUUGAGUAUGCGGAGUGAAUGAAAUUUAUUGGGUUAAUCUAACAAGACAGUUAGUGGAUACAAGAUCGUAAGUACAAAGCAGUAUUGAAGGUUAACAGUUUGGGUUGUACGGGGUUCUCUGUAACGUCUAGAGACCUACCGGCUGGGGCAAAAAGGACUUCGACAAGCAGUCGAAGAGUACCCGUAUAGAUUUACGGUACAUUGUUGCAGUCGUUUAUAUUCCAGCAGUCAAAACUGAUAGACUGCUUGACUAUUGGCGAAUCUCCAUACUACCUUCU
rnacentral:lncRNA from 1 species